rnacentral:misc_RNA from 1 species
UCUCCGUAGGUGAACCUGCGGAGGGAUCAUUACUGAGUGAGGGCCCCCGGCCCGACCUCCAACCCUUUGUGUAUCUCGACCCUGUUGCCUCGGGGGCGACCCGGCCUUCGGGCGUCGGGGCCCCCGGGGGAAAUCAAACACUGCGUCAAUUUGUGUCGGAGUACUUGUUAAUAAACAAAACUUUCAACAACGGAUCUCUUGGUUCUGGCAUCGAUGAAGAACGCAGC